rnacentral:rRNA from 1 species
UGAAGCAACAAAUGCCCUGCUUCCAGGAAAAGCCUCUAAGCAUCAGGUAACAUCAAAUCGUACCCCAAACCGACACAGGUGGUCAGGUAGAGAAUACCAAGGCGCUUGAGAGAACUCGGGUGAAGGAACUAGGCAAAAUGGUGCCGUAACUUCGGGAGAAGGCACGCUGAUAUGUAGGUGAAGUCCCUCGCGGAUGGAGCUGAAAUCAGUCGAAGAUACCAGCUGGCUGCAACUGUUUAUUAAAAACACAGCACUGUGCAAACACGAAAGUGGACGUAUACGGUGUGACGCCUGCCCGGUGCCGGAAGGUUAAUUGAUGGGGUCAGCGCAAGCGAAGCUCUUGAUCGAAGCCCCGGUAAACGGCGGCCGUAACUAUAACGGUCCUAAGGUAGCGAAAUUCCUUGUCGGGUAAGUUCCGACCUGCACGAAUGGCGUAAUGAUGGCCAGGCUGUCUCCACCCGAGACUCAGUGAAAUUGAACUCGCUGUGAAGAUGCAGUGUACCCGCGGCAAGACGGAAAGACCCCGUGAACCUUUACUAUAGCUUGACACUGAACAUUGAGCCUUGAUGUGUAGGAUAGGUGGGAGGCUUGGAAGUGUGGACGCCAGUCUGCAUGGAGCCGACCUUGAAAUACCACCCUUUAAUGUUUGAUGUUCUAACGUUGACCCGUAAUCCGGGUUGCGGACAGUGUCUGGUGGGUAGUUUGACUGGGGCGGUCUCCUCCUAAAGAGUAACGGAGGAGCACGAAGGUUGGCUAAUCCUGGUCGGACAUCAGGAGGUUAGUGCAAUGGCAUAAGCCAGCUUGACUGCGAGCGUGACGGCGCGAGCAGGUGCGAAAGCAGGUCAUAGUGAUCCGGUGGUUCUGAAUGGAAGGGCCAUCGCUCAACGGAUAAAAGGUACUCCGGGGAUAACAGGCUGAUACCGCCCAAGAGUUCAUAUCGACGGCGGUGUUUGGCACCUCGAUGUCGGCUCAUCACAUCCUGGGGCUGAAGUAGGUCCCAAGGGUAUGGCUGUUCGCCAUUUAAAGUGGUACGCGAGCUGGGUUUAGAACGUCGUGAGACAGUUCGGUCCCUAUCUGCCGUGGGCGCUGGAGAACUGAGGGGGGCUGCUCCUAGUACGAGAGGACCGGAGUGGACGCAUCACUGGUGUUCGGGUUGUCAUGCCAAUGGCACUGCCCGGUAGCUAAAUGCGGAAGAGAUAAGUGCUGAAAGCAUCUAAGCACGAAACUUGCCCCGAGAUGAGUUCUCCCUGACUCCUUGAGAGUCCUGAAGGAACGUUGAAGACGACGACGUUGAUAGGCCGGGUGUGUAAGCGCAGCGAUGCGUUGAGCUAACCGGUACUAAUGAACCGUGAGGCUUAACCUU